UAGGGAAUAUUGCACAAUGGGCGAAAGCCUGAUGCAGCGACGCCGCGUGAGCGAAGAAGUUCUUCGGAACGUAAAGCUCUGUCCUUGGGGACGAAAAAAAUGACGGUACCCAAGGAGGAAGCCCCGGCUAACUACGUGCCAGCAGCCGCGGUAAUACGGGGGGUGCAAGCGUUGUCCGGAAUCAUUGGGCGUAAAGCGUUCGUAGGCGGUAUGUCAAGUCUGGUGUUAAAGCCCGAGGCUCAACCUCGGUUCGGCAUUGGAUACUGGCAAACUAGAAUGUGGUAGAGGUAAAGGGAAUUCCUGGUGUAGCGGUGAAAUGCGUAGAUAUCAGGAGGAACAUCGGUGGCGAAAGCGCUUUACUGGACCAUUAUUGACGCUGAGGAACGAAAGCCAGGGGAGCAAAUG
rnacentral:rRNA from 1 species